GUAUUUAUGAUGACGUCAGCAAGGUAGAGUGGCGCGCGGCGGCUGCCACUCCGGUUUGGACGCGCGAGAGCUUCUGCUCGAGACCUGAAGACGCUUCCUGAGUUUCGGUAAAACAGCAAGUUAUACAGGGUUAGAACAACAUUAAACAUUAGCUCAAGGCCGAUGUGUCCAUCCCGUGUAAACAUUGAGAUUGUCAGUAGGGGAGAGUGA
rnacentral:lncRNA from 1 species